UGGUCAUUACCAAGGCUUUUAGAAUGCAGUUUCUCAUUUGCCGUGGACAUGACCACAAAACAUUUUUCCCACUGGGUUUUCUUUCUGCUACAUUGUGAGCAUUCAGCCUAUUGGGAACAUUU
ensembl:snoRNA